GUGCCUAACACAUGCAAGUCGAACGAGAAAGUGGAGCAAUCCAUGAGUAAAGUGGCGACCUGGGUGAGUAACACGUGACUAACCUACCUCCGAGUGGGGAAUAACUCCGGGAAACCGGGGCUAAUACCGCAUAACAUCGCAAGAUCAAAGCAGCAAUGCGCUUGGAGAGGGGGUCGCGGCUGAUUAGCUCGUUGGCGGGGUAACGGCCCACCAAGGCGAAGAUCGGUAUCCGGCCUGAGAGGGCGCACGGACACACUGGAACUGAAACACGGUCCAG
rnacentral:rRNA from 1 species